rnacentral:rRNA from 1 species
GACGAACGCUGGCGGCGUGCUUAACACAUGCAAGUCGAACGAUGACGACCGAGCUUGCUCGGUCUGAUUAGUGGCGAACGGGUGAGUAACACGUGAGCAACCUGCCCUUCACUCUGGGAUAACCUCGGGAAAUCGGGGCUAAUACCGGAUAUGAGCUCCUGUCGCAUGGCGGGUGUUGGAAAGUUUUUCGGUGAAGGAUGGGCUCGCGGCCUAUCAGUUUGUUGGUGAGGUAGUGGCUCACCAAGGCGAUGACGGGUAGCCGGCCUGAGAGGGCGACCGGCCACACUGGGACUGAGACACGGCCCAGACUCCUACGGGAGGCAGCAGUGGGGAAUAUUGCACAAUGGGCGAAAGACUGAUGCAGCGACGCCGCGUGAGGGAUGACGGACUUCGGGUUGUAAACCUCUUUCAGCAGGGAAGAAGCGAAAGUGACGGUACCUGCAGAAGAAGCGCCGGCUAACUACGUG